UACAGCCACUGACCUGACAAAGGCUAAGAUUGUUUUGAACACAAUGGUAACAACUUUUUCAGCAUAUUGUAAAAGAAAAUUUGAGGUGGAACCAGUUGAAGUGAUAUAUUCUGAUGGAAAGGCAUAUGUCUAUCCUGACUUAUCUUCCUAUAAUAUGGAAGUUCCUCUAUCAUAUAUUACUGGCUCAAUUGGAGUUUCUUUUAGGGCAGAAGAGGUCACAAGUCUGUUAAAUCGGAUGCAAUUGCAAGCUGAGCAGUCUGUAUCUGAUGCUGAUCAAUGUAAUAUCAAUGUAUCUAUACCUCCAAGCAGAAGCGAUGUUCUUCACCCAUGUGAUGUUAUGGAGGAUGUUGCAAUUGCUUAUGGGUAUAAUAAUAUUCCAAAGAGAAAGCUACCAUCAUUGAAGCCAUUAGCAUUGAAUCAGCUUGAGGAUCUAAUUAGAGUGGAGGUUGCAAUGAACGGGUUUACAGAGGUUUUGACAUGGAUUUUAUGCUCUUAUCGGGAGAAUUUUUCCAUGUUAAAUAAAAAAGAUGAUGGAUCAACUGCUGUGAUUGUUGGAAAUCCUCGUUCAUCGGACUUCGAGGCUGUCCGAACCAGCCUUAUGCCUGGUGCUUUGAAAAUAGUUGGACAUAAUAAGGAUCAUCCAAAGCCAAUAAAGAUUUUUGAAGUGGGUGAUGUAGUACAUCUGGAUGAGAGUAAAGAUGUUGGUGCAGCAAAUCGUCGCCUACUUGCAGCUCUAUAUUGUGGCACUAACUCAGGAUUUGAGUUGAUUCAUUCCUUGGUCGACAGAGUCAUGGAAGUGAUGGGGACUCCUUUUGUACCAGUUGGUGACAAUACGGGGUAUUACAUUCAGUGUUCUGAUGCACCUGAGUUUCUUCAGGGUAGACAAGCAAGUAUCAUUUACAAGGGCAAGUGCAUUGGCAUUUUUGGUAUUGUGCACCCUGAGGUUUUGAACAACUUUGAUGUUCCUGAUCCAUGCUCCUUCUUGGAACUGGACAUUGAGUCUUUCUUAUAGGGUCUAUGACCACAAAUGUG
rnacentral:misc_RNA from 1 species